AAAGAUGCGAAGAAAAGAAGAAGUAGUACAUGGGGGAGACCUACAGAGAAUAGCCGGUUGCUGAGAGGCGUUAGGAUAGAAGCCUGUAUGAAUACAUCUUGGAGUAGCGGAUUGAAGAGAGGAUUUUGAUCCUUUUGGUAGAUUUAGCCGGUGAUGCACCCGUUAUCGUGCAGGAAUAUAGAGGUAUCCUGCUAAGGCAGUAUGUGUGAGCAUAUUGUAAAAAAAGGUGGUAACACGAUUUCAUCGUCCUUUUG
rnacentral:ncRNA from 1 species